rnacentral:rRNA from 1 species
AUGGCUAGCUCCGCCCUCCUCCUCCUCGCCCUCGUGGCCCUGGCGGGCCUCGUCGAUCUGCAGGCCUCCGCGGCCGCCCCGACGCCCGCUCACGCCGCGGAGGUCUCCUUGGCGGCGGCGGCGGCGACGAUGGGCAUGGCGGAUCAGGAGCUGGACGGGACGGUGCAGUGCCUGAUCGGGUGCUUGACGACUGUUCUGGGCUGCGCCUUCAAGUGCCUGCGCGUGCGCAAGGGCAUUGACCUGCCGCUCUGCGUCAUCGGCUGCAACGAUAGGGGCAUCGUCUGCAUGUUCAGCUGCGGCAAGCCACCUUCCCCGCCGGGUCCCAAGCCGCCAGUGCCACCUUAUCCCACACCGACGCCGCCUGCUCCCACACCGACGCCGCCAGAGCCGCCUGCUCCCACACCCACGCCGCCAGCGCCUCCUGCUCCCAAACCCAAGCCGCCGCCUGCCCCAAAACCCAAGCCGCCGCCUGCUCCCAAACCCAAGCCGACGCCACCCUAUCCAGGACCUGCGCCCGCCCCCACGCCGCCGGCGCCCCCCACCCACCCAGCCCGCCGCCUUACGCGGAUGGACACCUCCAACUACGGCGACAAUUACCUUGCAUGA